rnacentral:rRNA from 1 species
GACGAACGCUGGCGGCGUGCUUAACACAUGCAAGUCGAACGGAAAGGCCCUGGUUUUGUGGGGUGCUCGAGUGGCGAACGGGUGAGUAACACGGGAGUAACCUGCCCUUGACUUUGGGAUAACUUCAGGAAACUGGGGCUAAUACCGGAUAGGAGCUCCUGCUGCAUGGUGGGGGUUGGAAAGUUUCGGCGGGUGGGGAUGGACUCGCGGCUUAUCAGCUUGUUGGUGGGGUAGUGGCUUACCAAGGCUUUGACGGGUAGCCGGCCUGAGAGGGUGACCGGCCACAUUGGGACUGAGAUACGGCCCAGACUCCUACGGGAGGCAGCAGUGGGGAAUAUUGCACAAUGGGCGGAAGCCUGAUGCAGCAACGCCGCGUGCGGGAUGACGGCCUUCGGGUUGUAAACCGCUUUCGCCUGUGACGAAGCGUGAGUGACGGUAAUGGGUAAAGAAGCACCGGCUAACUACGUG